CUCGUUGCAGCCGCAAACUUUUGCACCUGCGCCCCGCGCGCCUCCCCAGCAUGUAAAGCUCUUCCUGAAGCUCCAGCUGUCGCCAGCAUCGCCGCCGCCUCCCGGGGACACGCGGCCACCCCCAGGUUGGGCUCUGGGCGGCCCGAGCAGGGAUGAUGAUCUGGGACUGGAUGCUUCGCCCUCGCUGCUGCUGGCCCUCGCUGCUGCUGCACUGUGCGCUGCACCCGCUCUGGGGUUUCAUUCAGAUCACUCACGGUGAACUCCAGAAGUCAUGUUCUAAGACCAUUGCAGAAAAAGGUACUGAUAGCUGCCAGGAGAUCUGUCAGUGUAGACGGCCUCCUCCACUACCACCCCCUCCGCCUCCUCCUCCACCUCCCAGGCUGCUCUCCCUCACACCUCCCAACUCUACCUCGUGUCCUGUGGAAGAAACCUGGUGGUCCGGCUUGGUCAUCAUCAUCGCAGUAUGCUGUGCCACACUUGUGUUUCUGGUUGUCAUUGUUAUCAUUUGUUACAAAGCCAUAAAGAGGAACCAUGUGAUUUAGGGAGCAGUUGGUGGAGCAUUCUUUCUCUCACCUCUCAGGUGGAAAUGCCUCUUCAUGUAUGCGCUGGAAUAACCAAGGUGCUCCACAAGUUCGAAAGCAUGCUGUUUACACAGGCAUCUCAGUAUAAAGUGUCUAUCAGUCUCCUGAAUGGUAAAUUAGGCAGAGAGCAGGUACAAGCCUGUUUUAGAGAAUCAGGAGUUGUUAUUUUUCCUGAGCCUCUGAGAAACCACUAAGAAAAGAAGAGAAUGGAACAAGUGGAACUGAGUAUGCAAUGACCUCCUCUCAAAACAACAAAACAGUGGAUGUAAAUAAUGCAGUUGUGUAGUCCCUGCUGACUCCCAGACAGCCUGGCUGGAGUGAGGUCUCGUCAAAGCACACAGAGGUACAGGAAGAAAAGAGGAAGCAGAGACACAACAGGUGACAGCUUGGUGGGCCCAGGACUUAAUUUCCCAAUUCUUGCACACCUCAAGCAUUCAAAGAGAGAAACCCAACUGCUUUUCAGUACUUUGCUGAGCAUCUAAUGAAAAGGAUUUUGCCUGCUAGCCAGAGGCAACUCAGAGAGGAGAAUUUAGAGUUGGAAAGGACCCUAGAGAUCAUCUAGUUCAACCCCCUCACUUUACAGAGGAGGAAAUUGAAGGCAGGGGAGUUAAGAGACUCGCCCAAGGUCACACGUCUAAGAAGGAGCCGCAGUGUUGGAAUUUGAACCCAGACUCUCUUACUCCUAUGCCCAGAAUGAGGCAUGAUGACUACAUUGCAACAUCUGCUGAGGGGACAAACACCAAUCAGCAUGCCCUGAGGUUUUCUCUUGUCAUGGUUGCUGACCUCGUUUCUGUUUGAUCCACAGUUCAUGAGAGCUGCUGACAAAAGAGGACUUGCUGGGAUUGGGGAUUUAGAAUGGGCAUUCUAUCUAUCCUACAUACCCUUGCUGGUUACAUCCCUCUAGCAAGGCAGUAGCACCCUCCACUUCCUCUUUAACCCUUUAAGGGGAAGGUAUCCAUGAGUGUAUACUACCUGCCCCCAUCUGCAUGCCCUCGCAGGCAAGGCCGGGAAACCUAUCAGCAGUCUGGUGACUAUGCAAUUUCCAGUGACCCAAGGCUCCUCCAAUCAGGACAGGGCUCCUUCAAGUGUUGGUAUGACUGUGAGAAUUUUCAUUUUUUAAAAAGGUGCUUUCAAUACAUUCCUCCUCAAGAGCCUUCAUCCUUUGCUUUGGGUUUCUGUCUUACCUUCUUUCUUCCUCACCCCAGCAAAUACUUGAGUUCCUUGUUCCUCCACAGCUCUCUAAGUUCAUACUCUAAGGACCCACUGCACAGCUAAGUUCUUUGUAAAAAUGCCUGAUAAAGGAGAAAAAAAGAACAAGAAACUUGUUUACAUUGGUGUGGAUAAACAGCUGUGUUCAUGGUCUCAGAUAUGGAAAGGAUGAGCCAGACCAGAAACCAAAGUUCUCUUUCCAUCCUUUGGAUGAGCUGUUGAGUAGGGGAAGGUCCCCUUCCCCGACCUGGUUUUUUUUUUUUAAUUUCUUUGCAUAUUUUCUCAACUCACCAAGAGCUUAAUAGACUUAGCCUGUACUACGUGUUGUUUGUGAGAAGAACAGGCAAAUGAUUGUGAGCUCAGUUCUCUGACUGGCUGUGAUGGAGGCUGCCCUUUGUGCCAAAUUCUGCAUGGGAACUUUUUGUCAUAUUUAUGGGUGGCAUAGAUCAUGUUUUUCCUGAAGCCAUGCUGAAGCCACCAAACCCAUUUUACUUAGUAUCUCAGAUUCCAAAAUACUAAGGCAUUGAGUCAUCCCUCUCUAUAGGAAAAACAACUAGAUCUCUUCCCCAAUACUGGAUGACCACUUGGGGAGGGGAGGUUUAUGAUUUGGCUAUGGGUUGAAGUAAGUGACCCCUGUAAGACCUAACUCUGGGAGUCUAUGAUUGUGAGACAGCCUUGUUUUGUCUCCCUUCCCUGGAAAGCCAACGUGUGUCUCCCUUUGUCAGCUAAAUAUUUCUUUCUAUCACCUUGCUCCAAACAGAAUAUUCUGAGAGUUGAAUUGCAAUAUGGUGGAGGGAGGUGGAAGGAAUAAACCUACAUGCUUUUUCCAGUGCCACUGUGAAGCUUCAAUAAUAUCGAGUGUCUGUGUCUCAAGCCAACUAUGGCAACCCCAUUACUGAAAAUAAUUGCCCAAUGGAAAUAACACUUCAGUCAACCAAGGCAUAUUGAUAUACACUCUAUUUUGCAUUACAUAAUGUGUCUAUUUAAAUUUACUACUCAUUAGAUCGUAAGAUCUUGAGGGCAGGAGACUUCCACAUGGAGCUGAUUGUUUAAAAAAAAUUCAUCCACUGAACAUUUAUACAUCAGUCCUGUACUGUUGUUUUUCACUUUUGAAUUUCCUUCAGCACCCACCACAAUACCCUUCAUACAAUAGGUGUCUACUAAUACAGAAUCAGUCAUCUUAGUGUAUAUUCAAGGUAAUCAUCACUGGGUUGGAAUUUAGCAUAUUGAUCCAAAUUAAUUGUGACUUAGGACAUCUAUCUCUAAAAAUAAUCUUUUGCUUUUAAACAGCCUAUGUUUAAUAUGAUCUGACAAAUGCUUGUGAAAAAAAAAAGAUUAUAUUUGCAAAUAUAAGUAAGAUAGACUGCUAAUGCCAAUUGCAGUUUGGAUUGGCCUUUCCAAAAUGCAAUGUGCUCCUCUGAAUGAAAUAAUCCUAUUUCUCUUGAAAGUUUCCUUUAAGAAAAGUGUGGGGGGGGCGGCUAGGUGGCGCAGUGGAUAAAGCACUGGCCCUGGAUUCAGGAGUUCCUGAGUUCAAAUCCGGCCUCAGACACUUGACACUUACUGGCUGUGUGACCCUGGGCAAGUCACUUAACCCCCAUUGCCCCGCAAAAAAAAAAGAAAAGUGUGGGGGGGUGGGAAUGGUGUCCUUGAAUCCAAAGACUGCGUUAUCAGUCUCAUACAUGAGUAGAUGUUUGCAAGUAGAAGGAAAGUAUAUUGAGCUGAAUCUGGAUUAUCUCCUAUUACAUUCAGUUAUGAUACUUGAUAAACUCCCCCCUGCCAAUAUGCUAUAGUUUAAAUGAGCACAGACAUGCAACAGUCUCCUGUAGUUCACCAAGUCUCAUCAAAUAUAUCUGUUGUCUUGAAGACCAAAUAACAAAUUAACAGGCUGGAAAUGAGACACUUCCUUCCCUCCCUACUCCCAUCUGCCCAUCUAGCUUCUGAAAUGUCAGAAUGGAAGAAGAGACAAGGGGUUGUAGAAGAGAGGACCCUAGAACUGGAAUUAGGAAGCACUCAGGCCCCGCGAUUUAUUAUCUGGGUGAUCUUGGGCAAGUCAUUAACAUCUCUGGGCCUCAGUUUCCUCAUCUGUAAAAUGAAAGUGUUCAAUUGGGUGCCAUCUUUAGAGCUAUGAUCUUAUAAUUAUAAUGUUCAGAUAGAAAGGGACCAUCAGAGGUCAAAUUCCAACAACCUCCUCAUUUUACAGAGGAGGAAACUCCUUUACGAGUUAAGACUGCAAAAGGUGGCUUGCUCCAAGUUACAUAGAUAGUGCAGCUAGGUGGCUCAGAGGAUAAAGUACUGGGCUUAGAAUCAGGAGGACUCCUCUUCCUGAGUUCAAAUCUGGCCUCACCCACUUACCAACUGUGUGACUGUGGGCAAGUCACUUCACC